UGGGGAAUAUUGCGCAAUGGGGGCAACCCUGACGCAGCAACGCCGCGUGAUUGAAGAAGGCCUUCGGGUUGUAAAGAUCUUUAAUCAGGGACGAAAAUUGACGGUACCUGAAGAAUAAGCUCCGGCUAACUACGUGCCAGCAGCCGCGGUAAUACGUAGGGAGCAAGCGUUAUCCGGAUUUACUGGGUGUAAAGGGCGCGCAGGCGGGCCGGCAAGUUGGGAGUGAAAUCCGGGGGCUUAACCCCCGAACUGCUUUCAAAACUGCUGGUCUUGAGUGAUGGAGAGGCAGGCGGAAUUCCGUGUGUAGCGGUGAAAUGCGUAGAUAUACGGAGGAACACCAGUGGCGAAGGCGGCCUGCUGGACAUUAACUGACGCUGAGGCGCGAAAGCGUGGGGAGCAAACA
rnacentral:rRNA from 1 species